rnacentral:rRNA from 1 species
GACGAACCGUACAAACGUUAUUCGGAAUCACUGGGCUUAAAGGGUGCGUAGGCGGCGCGGAAAGUUGGGUGUGAAAUCCCUCGGCUCAACCGAGGAACUGCGCCCAAAACUGCCGUGCUUGAGGGAGACAGAGGUGAGCGGAACUAAGGGUGGAGCGGUGAAAUGCGUUGAUAUCCUUAGGAACACCGGUGGCGAAAGCGGCUCACUGGGUCUCUUCUGACGCUGAGGCACGAAAGCUAGGGGAGCAAACGGGG